rnacentral:rRNA from 1 species
CCUUCGGGGGGCUGCAGUAGGGAAUAUUGCGCAAUGGGGGAAACCCUGAUGCAGCGACGCCGCGUGGGUGAAGAAGUUUCUCGGUAUGUCAACCUCUCUCGUCAGAGAAGAUAAUGACGGUACCUGACGAAUAAGCCCCUGCUAACUACGUGCCAGCAGCCGCGGUAAUACGUAGGGGGCAAGCGUUAUUCGGAUUCACUGGGUGGAAAGGGAGCGUAGACGGGGCUGCAAGUCCGAAGUGAAAGCCCAUGGCUUAACCAUGGUACUGCUUUUGAAACUGUGGUGGUUGAGUGCGGGAGGGGCAGGUGGAAUUCCUAGGGUAGCGGUGAAAUGAGUAGAUAUUAGGAGGAACAC